AGGCGCGUAGCUCAGUGGUAGAGCACCGUUACAACGUGGCGGAGGUCGGAGGUUCGAUUCCUGCUCGCGCCUACCA
rnacentral:tRNA from 1 species